rnacentral:rRNA from 1 species
UACGUAGGGGGCAAGCGUUGUCCGGAUUUACUGGGCGUAAAGAGCGCGUAGGCGGAAAUUUAAGCGUGGCCUGAAAGCCCCCGGCUCAACCGGGGAGUGCGGCUGCGAACUGGGUUUCUUGAGGACGAUAGAGGAGAGUGGAAUUCCUGGUGUAGCGGUGAAAUGCGUAGAUAUCAGGAAGAACACCCGUGGCUAAGGCGGCUCUCUAGUACGGUACUGACGCUGAGACGCGAAAGCGUGGGGAGCGAACAGG